rfam:Tissierella creatinophila DSM 6911 TICR_contig000012, whole genome shotgun sequence.
AAGCUAGUAUCUUUAAAAGAACUAGACUAUUUAAAUAGAUAAUCAAUAAAAAAAUCGACUGGUAUCUUAAUGAACUAGAGCGGAGG